GUGUGUCACAGAGAUCUGUUGGUGAUACCUGUCACCCUAUUGAUGUAUAAACAGGCUGGGUGGAUAUCUUGUUUCUCUCUCUCCACUAUUCUGUUUGCCCCUCCUUAAGCUGUGUCCUCUGUAGAAGAAGACAACUGAACCAGAUAAAAGAAGGACAUUCUCUGGACAAGGGUCUGCAAGUAGUUGUUAUUACUUUGCUAGAACAUUCAAAUUAGCCCUCAAGGCCCUUUGAUGGGGGAAUAUAGACAAGCAAAAAUAUUAAUAGAUGGCUCUAGAAUUCUACUAGUAAAGCUGUUUUCGGUG
rnacentral:snRNA from 1 species